UAUCUCUGUAGAGUCUGCAUAUCAAUAAGCGGAGGAAAAGAAACUAACUAGGAUUCCCUCAGUAACGGCGAGUGAAGCGAGAAGAGCUCAAAUUUGAAAUCUUCAAGGUUCUACCUUGACGAAUUGUAGUUUAAAGAAGUGUUUUCUGUUGGUGUUUUGGUAAAAGUUCUUUGGAAUAGGACAUCAUAGAGGGUGAGAAUCCCGUAUUUGACCAUUACUUCCAGCGUUGUGAUACACUCUCAAAGAGUCGGAUUGUUUGGGAAUGCAGUCCAAAAUGGGUGGUAAAUUUCAUCUAAAGCUAAAUAUUGGCGAGAGACCGAUAGCGAACAAGUACCGUGAGGGAAAGAUGAAAAGAACUUUGAAAAGAGAGUUAAACAGUACGUGAAAUUGUCAAAAGGGAAGCGUUUGACACCAGUGUUGUUUUCUCGAAAAUCAAUUAAAGAAAGUUGAUUUAUGCUAAGUUGUUAGACCUUUAUCAGCUUAACUGUAGCUCUUUUCUUGAGCUUUUCUUAAUGCACUUUUCAGUUUAACAAGUCAACAUCAAUUUCUUUUGUUGUAAAAGAGUCAUUGAGGAAGGUGGCUUGCAGCUUCGUCUAGAGUGUUUAUAGCCUCUUGCUUCUGCAGUCGGAGAGAUUGAGGUCUGCAGCGUAGAUCCUUCGGGGCUAAGAUACUUAGAUGCUAAGUUAUAGCUUUUUAUAGACAACUUGUUGACUAUGAUUAAGUCAUGUAGCUUACUCGUUUGCGCUAUUUUACCUACGCUUAGGAUGUUGACGAUCAGCUGAGCGCG
rnacentral:rRNA from 1 species